rnacentral:rRNA from 1 species
UACAGAGGUCUCAAGCGUUGUUCGGAUUCAUUGGGCGUAAAGGGUGCGUAGGCGGCGCGGUAAGUCGGGUGUGAAAUCUCGGAGCUUAACUCCGAAACUGCAUUCGAUACUGCCGUGCUUGAGGACUGGAGAGGAGACUGGAAUUUACGGUGUAGCGGUGAAAUGCGUAGAUAUCGUAAGGAAGACCAGUGGCGAAGGCGGGUUCUCUGGGCCUUACCUGACGCUGAGGAGCGAAAGCGUGGGGAGCAAACAGG